rnacentral:rRNA from 1 species
GAUUGAAUGGCUCAGUGAGGCCUUCGGACUGGCUCAGGGAGGUCGGCAACGACCACCCAGAGCCGGAAAGUUGGUCAAACUCGGUCAUUUAGAGGAAGUAAAAGUCGUAACAAGGUCUCCGUAGGUGAACCUGCGGAGGGAUCAUUA